GCACCGCUAGAACGACAUAGAAUGGACCUAUAUGAUACCAAAGAUUUAUGAUUGAAGUACUUAGAAGUAAGUGCUUUAAGUUAGAAGUUGACUUAGAGCUUUAUAAGAGAUAAGAAGUUGACAUGAUUGGGGGCGAAGCUCCCAUUUGACUGAGUGAUUCGUUGUGCUGGGUCUGGCCAGCCCACAUGACUAUGAUCUCGGUGAUUGUCAAUUUAGUCAUCCCAAUGUAUAAACUCGUACUAUAUAGUUGUCCCAAUAAGAUCUUCUUUGAUCACGAUAAGCAUAGUAUGAUUAGAAUGAGUUUGUUUGUCAACAGUUCUCGAGACAUGAGACGUAGCAUUCUCACGAUUAGAAAAUGUGAUAAGCAUCAAGCUAUGUAGGUGCACUGAUAGUGAAUGUCUAGUACUCCAAACUAGAUUUCCCAAGUAUGCAAUUUCGAGGACGAAAUUUUUAUAAGGAGGGAGGGAUGUAACACCCCGUUAUUUCUUAGCUAAAUUUAGAGUAAUUUUGAACUUAGAAGUCAUGAUGAUUCACGCCGGAUAUAAAGAAAAUGAAUUUAUUUUAAUUCCAACAAAAAUGAUUUACAAAAAAAAAAAACAUUUGUAAAUUUAGUUAUUAAAUUUAUAUGCAUUUCAUAUUUAUUUAUAUUAAGCAUUUAGCAUCUACACGAGCUAUUUAUUUAAGCAAACACUGAACGAUUAUUACAGUUUUCAUAGUACAACCCGGAAGACUUUUUAUUUUAUUCAAUCACCUAAUUUCUCCACCUAAUUUAUCCACCUACUCUUCCACCACUAAUAUUUUCUUUUCCCUACCACUAACUUAUUUUUAUCUAAUAAACAUGAGUGGAAGUGUGAUGAGUGAAGAUAGGAUUAGUGUGCUAAGGUGGUAGGGAACCAAGCUUUAAUCAUGAAUAAUGCUUUGUCCUUAAUCAUUCUUCCAUUUCAAGACAAAGCUCAUCACUUCACUCCCUCACACUUAAAUUCUCGGCCUCCCCUCUCUCUCUCUAUACUCUCUUUUCCUCCAUUGAUGUCCAUUGAAGAAAGCUUAGAGAAGCUUCAUCAAACACUACUAUGAGAUAAUCCACCAUCCAAUCCAAUCAAAUACUAUCAUAUCUCAUCAAAUUCAAGAAGCUAGAGCUAAGAUCAAAGUUGGAGCAAAGUCUUGAUCACCUUUUAAAUCCUUGAGCUUUGUGAUGACCAGGAGGAUUAGCGCUACUUUUCCAAGACAGGUUUAUAUGUGUAUGAUCUUCAGGCUUUGCCUAUCCAGGUUGGCUGGCUGGUGCUGACGGGACGGAGCUGAGGCUAGAGUUAAAAUUCAUAUGUUAGACUUCCGCUGUAGCAAUUACUCAUAUCAGUCUUUUGUUUUCCCAACUUAAGAUCUUCAUGUUAAAUUUCAAAUGAUAUACCUGACCGAGCUUAGACUCUUCACUACUAAAUUUAUGCCAAUGAAUGUCGGUUGUCAGAAGCAUGAAACAAAACUUGUGAUCCAAAGGGGCAUAGCCCGACUUUCUAUCCUAUUUCGGGUUUUUACAAGGU